UACGUAGGGGGGCAAGCGUUGUCCGGAUUUAUUGGGCGUAAAGAGCGUGUAGGCGGUCAGGUAGGUCCGUUGUGAAAACUCGAGGCUCAACCUCGAGACGCCGAUGGAAACCAUCUGACUAGAGUCCGGAAGAGGAGAGUGGAAUUCCUGGUGUAGCGGUGAAAUGCGCAGAUAUCAGGAGGAACACCGGUGGCGAAGGCGGGGUCUCUGGGCCGAUAUUUGACGCUGAGGAGCGAAAGCGUGGGGAGCGAACAGG
rnacentral:rRNA from 1 species